rnacentral:rRNA from 1 species
GAUCCCUACGGGGGGCAGCAGUGGGGAAUAUUGGGCAAUGGGCGCAAGCCUGACCCAGCAACGCCGCGUGAAGGAAGAAGGCUUUCGGGUUGUAAACUUCUUUUGUCAGGGACGAAGCAAGUGACGGUACCUGACGAAUAAGCCACGGCUAACUACGUGCCAGCAGCCGCGGUAAUACGUAGGGGGCAAGCGUUAUCCGGAUUUACUGGGUGUAAAGGGAGCGUAGGCGGUGCAGCAAGUCAGAAGUGAAAGCCCGGGGCUCAACUCCGGGACUGCUUUUGAAACUGUUGAACUAGAUUGCAGGG